GUAGGGAAUCUUCCACAAUGGACGCAAGUCUGAUGGAGCAACGCCGCGUGAGUGAAGAAGGUUUUCGGAUCGUAAAGCUCUGUUGUUGGUGAAGAAGGAUAGUGGCAGCAACUGGCCAUUAUUUGACGGUAAUCAACCAGAAAGUCACGGCUAACUACGUGCCAGCAGCCGCGGUAAUACGUAGGUGGCAAGCGUUGUCCGGAUUUAUUGGGCGUAAAGCGAGCGCAGGCGGAAAGAUAAGUCUGAAGUGAAAGCCCCCGGCUUAACCGGGGAACUGCUUCGGAAACUGUCCUUCUUGAGUGCAGAAGAGGAGAGUGGAACUCCAUGUGUAGCGGUGGAAUGCGUAGAUAUAUGGAAGAACACCAGUGGCGAAGGCGGCUCUCUGGUCUGCAACUGACGCUGAGGCUCGAAAGCAUGGGUAGCGAACAGGAUUAGAUACCCUUGUAGUCC
rnacentral:rRNA from 1 species